UGUGGGAGCGAGCUUGCUCGCGAUGGCGGUCUCAUACUCAGCACAUGUGUUGUCUGUCAGUCCGCUAUCGCGAGCAAGCUCGCUCCCACA
rnacentral:misc_RNA from 1 species